rnacentral:rRNA from 1 species
AUGCAAGAUUACUGGAGGAGAAAGUGGCGAUUCUUGGAGGAGCUGAAAUUGGAUGUGUUGGGUACCUUGAGAUGCAGUAUGGAGACAACAUCAUCAAUUCCUCCUCCUACGCCUUUGCAUACAGCGACUUCCUCCCUCACCGAAUUACCGUUCACCAGCACAUCCCACUGUGUUGUUCUUGAGCAGAUCAAACGUCACCCUGUGCGGCACUGGCAGAUGGAACGACGCGCACACGGACACGAUGGCGGUGUUGCUGUCAUCGUUGUUCCUCCUGUACGAGAUCCUGAUGUCGUCUUCCGUGCCAGCGCCACGCAGGAUGGUCCAUCCGCCCCCAGGGACGGCGGCAAUGCCGCUGGCGUAGCCCGCGAGCAGGCCGUCCGCUAUCUUCAUGAGGGUCUUCCUCCCAUUUGUGUUGCCUGA